rnacentral:rRNA from 1 species
UACGGAGGUGGCAAGCGUUGUUCGGAAUUACUGGGCGUAAAGGGUGCGUAGGCGGCGCGGUAAGUCGGAUGUGAAAUCUCGGAGCUUAACUUCGAAACUGCAUUCGAUACUGCCGUGCUUGAGGACUGGAGAGGAGACUGGAAUUUACGGUGUAGCGGUGAAAUGCGUAGAUAUCGUAAGGAAGACCAGUGGCGAAGGCGGGUCUCUGGACAGUUCCUGACGCUGAGGCACGAAGGUCAGGGAGCAAACGGG